rnacentral:rRNA from 1 species
AGGACGAACGCUGGCGGCGUGCUUAACACAUGCAAGUCGAACGGUGAAGCCCUUCGGGUGGAUCAGUGGCGAACGGGUGAGUAACACGUGAGCAAUCUGCCCUUGACUCUGGGAUAACUUCGGGAAACCGGAGCUAAUACCGGAUAUGACACAUGGUCGCAUGGUCUGUGUGUGGAAAGAUUUAUCGGUCAGGGAUGAGCUCGCGGCCUAUCAGCUUGGUUGGUGGGGUAAUGGCCUACCAAGGCGACGACGGGUA